rnacentral:rRNA from 1 species
AGUGAACGCUGGCGGUAGGCCUAACACAUGCAAGUCGAACGGCAGCACAGUAAGAGCUUGCUCUUACGGGUGGCGAGUGGCGGACGGGUGAGGAAUACAUCGGAAUCUACUUUUUCGUGGGGGAUAACGUAGGGAAACUUACGCUAAUACCGCAUACGACCUACGGGUGAAAGCAGGGGAUCUUCGGACCUUGCGCGAUUGAAUGAGCCGAUGUCGGAUUAGCUAGUUGGCGGGGUAAAGGCCCACCAAGGCGACGAUCCGUAGCUGGUCUGAGAGGAUGAUCAGCCACACUGGAACUGAGACACGGUCCAGACUCCUACGGGAGGCAGCAGUGGGGAAUAUUGGACAAUGGGCGCAAGCCUGAUCCAGCCAUACCGCGUGGGUGAAGAAGGCCUUCGGGUUGUAAAGCCCUUUUGCUGGGAAAGAAAAGCAGCAGGUUAAUACCCCGCUGUUCUGACGGUACCCAGAGAAUAAGCACCGGCUAACUUCGUG